CGAACGGGUGAGUAACGCGUGAGGAACCUGCCUCAAAGAGGGGGACAACAGUUGGAAACGACUGCUAAUACCGCAUAAGCCCACGGCUCGGCAUCGAGCAGAGGGAAAAGGAGAGAUCCGCUUUGAGAUGGCCUCGCGUCCGAUUAGCUAGUUGGUGAGGUAACGGCCCACCGAGGCGACGAUCGGUAGCCGGACUGAGAGGUUGAACGGCCACAUUGGGACUGAGACACGGCCCAG
rnacentral:rRNA from 1 species